rnacentral:misc_RNA from 1 species
GAUGAAGAACGCAGCGAAAUGCGAUAAUUAAUGUGAAUUGCAGAAUUCAGUGAAUCAUCGAGUCUUUGAACGCACAUUGCGCCCCCUGGUAUUCCGGGGGGCAUGCCUGUCCGAGCGUCAUUGCUGCCCUCAAGCACGGCUUGUGUGUUGGGCUUCCGUCCCUGGCAACGGGGACGGGCCCAAAAGGCAGUGGCGGCACCAUGUCUGGUCCUCGAGCGUAUGGGGCUUUGUCACCCGCUCUUGUAGGCCCGGCCGGCGCUUGCCGACACAUCAAUCUUUUUUCCAGGUUGACCUCGGAUCAGGUAGGGAUACCCGCUGAACUUAAGCAUAUCAAUAAGCGGAGGA